GACGACGCUGGCGGCGUGCUUAAUACAUGCAAGUCGAGCGAGGCCUUGGAAUUGGAGUCCUUCGGGAUGAAGAGUCCUUGGCCUAGCGGCGGACGGGUGAGUAACGCGUGGGCAACCUACCCCAAAGUCCGGGAUAACAGUGGGAAACCGCUGCUAAUACCGGAUGGCUUUACCUGAGGGCAUCCUUGGGUAAAGAAAGGUUACGCUUUGGGAUGGGCAUGCGUCCCAUUAGCUGGUUGGUGAGGUAAUGGCCCACCAAGGCUACGAUGGGUAGGGGUUCUGAGAGGAAAGCCCCCCACACUGGUACUGAGACACGGACCAGACUCCUACGGGAGGCAGCAGUAAGGAAUAUUGGGCAAUGGUCGAAAGACUGACCCAGCCAUGCCGCGUGCAGGAUGAAGGCCCUAUGGGUUGUAAACUGCUUUUAGCCGGGAAUAAACACCCGUUUUAUAACGGGCCCGAAGGUACCGGCUGAAUAAGCAUCGGCUAACUCCGUG
rnacentral:rRNA from 1 species